rnacentral:lncRNA from 10 species
GCCCCUCCUUCUCGCGGCGCUCGAGGGACCAUGGCCGAUCCUCGCGUGAGACAGAUCAAGAUCAAGACCGGCGUGGUGAAGCGAUCCCGCUAUCUGUCCUGUGAUGCCAUACUAGAGUAAAGCUGGAAUUUGGUGUCUUAUUGUUACAAAAAGCCUUAAGAUCUGUUUUAAUGUUAAUGCUGCUCAAUUGUUCCUGAGUUCCAAAGGGAGGAAUGUGUAAUGAGACAUGUCUGACCCCCUCUUCCCAUCAUGGCCUGAAUUACUUUAGAAUGCCCUUAGUUGAGAGGAGGGGUCCAUUCAGACGGUUUUGGAGCUUAGAAUUUUGUUUUUAGUUUGCAUUCCUGAGUGCUGGUAGACCCUUCAGUGUUCAUUAGAACUUUAUUGUUCAGACCCAAGAAGAGCAAACUUUUUGAUGAAGUAUUACAAGAGAAAAGAUAAACAGCCUUCUGAAGAAGCAAGUUAUUUUGUUGUAGCAAUGUCUACUAAAGAAACCAACUGGCUUCUUCCUGUUCGCCCACCUUUCCUUUGUUUAUUGAUAUUUCCACCAGAGGAAGGACCAGGCAAAAGGGAGAAUAAAUUCACUUUUUAAGAUAAUGCUUCUGAGUUUUAGCACAGCAUCCCACUUCCCGGGAAGCUUUAUUGCCAAGGCAAUAAGGAGACCAUGUGAGUAGGAGUUAAAUGCACAGCCAUUUGUGAAGUGAGACUGCUUGGGUUCAGAUCUUGAUUCUGCCCUUUAUUCUAUGUUGUGGAAUAUAUUACAUUGUGCUGUGCCUCUUUUACCUUAUUUGUAAAAUAGAGCAAGCACCCAACUCAAGCAGUUGUUGCAAGAACUGCCUGCUAUGCUGUUUAAUACAGUAUGUGGCAAAUAGCAAGUGGGUAGUAAAUGUUAAUAAUACUGUUUGGAUUCUCAUUUUACAUAUGAGAAACUGAGGUUUAAUGAAGUUAAAAAAAGAAAAAAAAAACUUGUCUAAAGUCACACUACUAGUUAGUGGCAAUGCAAGGAAAAGGACCAAGGUUUCAAAUCUACAACUUUCUCCUUUAAGCUACAGUGCUCCCGUAAAGAGUAUUUUUAAAAUUGGUAAUAGGAAGGGAAUUGAGAUGUAUAUUUGAAAAUAUAAAUAAUCCAUCCUGUCCCUCAGCUCAGAGUUCUUUUUACCAGACUUUUACCAGACUGGUUCACUUUUACCAGACUUGCUUGGGUUAUGUCAUUUUAGUCAGUAUAUUUGGCAGAACUAUCAGGGUGUGUUGCAGAGUGCUGUAGAAUGAAAGUCAUGAGAAAUGACUUCUAAUGGUAGUUUCCCAUUCAUUUACUUAUAUGACCUUGACAUUUCUCAUUCCAGUGAUCUCUACUAGUUUAUAAAAUUACUUAGUUCAAGUAGUUAUAUGCUGACAAUACAUAUUCUAGAGAAAAUACUCAUUGAGAUUAUUAUAAACUAAGUUUUUGACUUUUCAGAAGUUUUCAAUGCUUAUGUAAACUGCUUAGAAAUAAAUUUAUCAUUUUAUGAAACUUGGUGAUAGUUUACUAUUAUCUCAAAUUGCUUAUAAAUUAAUGGAAGUGUCUCCCAUACAUUUUAAAAUGACUUUUCUGUUGACAUUUUGGGGUAUAGCUUCCCACUUAUGUAUUAAAAUGCAAUUAAAGAAAAACCCCUAAACUUUCUGUUUUAGCUGCUUGUUACUCACAUUUUGCCUUGGUAUAUCACCAUCUAACUCCAUAAAUAUUGUCCCCUAUUGUCUCUUGUUAUUUUUCACCUGAAAAUUAUUUUGCUAUGACUCUUUCCAUCUUCUACCUUAGUAUCCUAUUUUUAUUUUAUUAUUAUUUAUUUUUAUUUUACUUUAAGUUCUGGGAUACAUGUGCUGAACGUGCAGUUUUGUUAUAUAGGUACACAUGUGCCAUGGUGAUAUGCUGCACCUGUCGACCCGUCAUCUAGGUUUUAAACCCUGCAACCUAUUUUUAAAAAUCUAUAUUUUACCUCAGCAAAGUAAAAAAUAGAUGAGGCAGCAAUGGUAACAUAUUACUAAUUGUUGGGGCUGAA